AUGACAUUUAAGGUGCACUUACACUCAGAAAAGUGUGUUUGUAAAAGUGAUACCACAAGUUCCUCAUUCACUUUUCCUUUAUUGACUUCUCUUGUAGAGAUCCCUUUCAAACCAAAAGGUAGCUUAGACAAUUUCUCCCUGACCGACACCUGGGACCUCUCCGACCUUGAGAGCAAGAUAGGAUUUCUUCCCACCUCCAAUCCCACUGCCCUUCAGAGGGAAUAUACCAAUGGCCUUACCAUUCCAAGAUGCUUUCAGCUGACACCUGGUAGAGAGGCAUAGUGAGGAACAGCCUGAUCCACUCAGUAAGAAUCCAGACAUUGGCCCCAUAAAACCUGGAUCUGCUCUUGCUUGAUGGUAAGUAUUUAAGAAACUGUCAGAAGCUGCCUCGGGGUUAAAGGAUAAAAGUGUGGCUGAUAACUUGGGAUUGGGAGUUGGUGGUAGAGAAAGGUGUUGGGUGAGCUGAAUUCUCUUUUGGCCCUUUCUCUUUUGGAAUACACUGAGGAAUUUUUCUAAAGAUUAUUCUGGAGGUUGGAAUCUAUUAAGUCCAUUUCUGUACUAUUUUAAAAUUGUGCUUUGUUUAUAUAUUAACCUUGACUACCUGGUUCUAGUUUUUAGCUUAUGUCUAGUAAAAUCCUUCAGUUAGUGAUAUUCCUCUCUUUUAUUUAUUCUUUCUCCUGUGCUCACUUUUAUUUUCCAGUUAUUUGAAGCAUUCAUCAAGAAAACAUCACUUCACGUAGGAAAGAGAACCAGUGUUCAAGUCCCAGACCUGAAGUUUACUAUCCUUUUUGCCUUGGAUUGAACUGAGUCUCAGUUUCUCAUCUGUCAAAUGGGGAAAUCUUAUAAGAUUAUGACUUCCCCUCCAGGUGAGUGGUAUCUGAGUGGCUUUGGAUAGUUGGCAUAUGGUUGAGGGAAGCUAAGUUGGGGGUAUAUUUGUUUGGAUUUCGUGGGAUGUGGUAUGUGGUUUACAGUCAUUUGUGAGGGUGAAUUAUUGCUGGAUGUCUUAGUGUAGAAACUUCUUCCAGUGCUGGGUUGUGUUAGCCCUCGUUAUGCCAUGAAAGAAUAGGGCCAGAGGCUGUGUUCUGUGGUGCCCAUCACUGGCAUAUGUGGGGAGUGGAGGAGAAACAGAUUUGAGAUGUAUGGAGUCAGAAGCUAGUCAGGAUAAUUCUUCUAGAUUCUGUGAUGUUUGUGGUGUUCGUCAGCUUUGUGAAUUUUAUAAUUUGCUUUGAUUUCUUUUCUGAUUUAAAUCAAUAUUCACUUUCAUACCUAAGUUUUAUUCAUAAUUUUGUAUUUUUUUCUUAAAGAGGGCCUUCCUAAAUUAUAUAAGCUUCAGGCCCCAUAAACCUGGAUCUACUGCUUGAUGUUAAGAAUUUUUAAGGCACUCAGACCUUUGUUGAGUUAAAACUUGCUUCACUAAAACCAGUCUCAGGUAUGGAGGAAACAGAAUCAUAUGGAGCCCCUAGAGCACUAUAAUUCCAUGAAUUUUGUGCUCUUGGUAGAAGAGGUUCUCAGUUUUCUAAAACUGUUAUUAUUUUGUAACUGAAAAAGAAAGUGUUUGGCAGAGCAGGUUCUGUCUGUGCAGCUUCAGGGCAAAAGCAAUAGGAUACAAGGGUUCCUGCCAUUGGAAUCAGUUAGGAAUCUCGUAUGUGUAUUUGGCGUCUGUCUAACUCUAGUCUUGAAUCUAGACCUUCUCUUACUCCUACCGGGACUGCAAUUGGGCUUAAAGGCAGCAUUCAAGAUAAGGAGAUGAGACCUGGAGUCCACAGAACUGUUCAUUGCAACUAUCUUUACCACCCACAACAGUCCUAAUCUCCCUUCUCUACUUUAUUAUUUUUUUCAAGGUACUUAUUACCGUAUAAUCUAUUAAAUAUUUUAUUGUUUAGUGUCUAUUUCCCCACUGGAUUGUAAUUCAGUGAUGAUAGUGAUAUUUUAUUUUUUUUAUUCGCUGCUGUAUCCUCAGUGCCUACAAGAAUGCCUGACAUGUAGUAGAUGUUUUAAAAAAUUGAUAGAAUGAAUGAAUGCUAAUAUUAGUAGAUGGAGUAUGGCGAGAUGACAUUCUAUUUCCUUUUAAAGAAGAUACCUUUAUACUUCUUUUCUCCACUUGCAUAGGUUAAGUCAAGGUCCAGAGUAAAAGGCAUAUACUCCUCACGUCUCACAUCAAAGCAAGAUCCAUAACUCUUUUUAAGCUCUGUCUCUGCACUCCAUCCCACCAUUGACUAAUAAAGUGAUGGUGUAUUUGGAUUGGAUCA
rnacentral:lncRNA from 1 species